rnacentral:tRNA from 1 species
GGGCUGCUAGCUCAGCUGGUAGAGCAACUGACUCUUAAUCAGUAGGUUCGGGGUUCGAGUCCCCGGCAGCUCACCA